GGUGGCUCAGUGGUAGAGUGCUUGCCUCCUAGGCAUGAGGCCCUGAGUUCAAUUCCUUAGCACCA
rnacentral:tRNA from 1 species